rnacentral:lncRNA from 1 species
GCUCGUUUAAUUUUCAUAAAAUUUUGUCAAAGUACAACUUUAACAAAAAUAUAAAAAUUUGAAAAAUUUUGAACCAACCGUUUUGUCAUAAAAAAUACACUGGUUAUAUAGCAAUUUGACAAACACCAAUUUUGAUCAUUGAGAAGCUUAAUAUUCCUUUUCCAACACAAUGUAAUUAAAACGUUUAGCUGACUUUACAGAGUUAUCUCCCUGUAGUGUUAG